rnacentral:lncRNA from 1 species
UAAAUACCGCGAAAUUGAAAUUCAAAAAUGCUGACAUGCUACAGCUUUCUGGUCAGAUUCCCAGCUGACUUGACAAGCUACUGAACCAACAGCAGGUAAAGCUGACCUGCCAGGAGUUAACCCCUCGGUAAUGUUCACCAUUCCCUCGCUUUUUGGUCUACAAUUGUGACUGUUCUGCCACCUAUAACUAGCUAGGAUUUGACUGUCUUAUGCGAGGGGUAGCCCCUCGGUUUACCCCUGUGUUAUUUUUCCCCUAUAUAUUUUCAAACCGUGUUCAUUUGUAGUGUUCCAUACUUAGAAAAAAUUCUAAUACUCUUCAACUUCCUUCUACACUUCUACUUUCUUGCUACCGUGGGUGAGCAAAUAAUGUCUCUCACUAAGUCACUGUGAGCAAACAGAUAAGUCACCACUGAUGGCUCCUAUUUCCAAUUUCUCUUCUCUCCCUGAUAUAUAGAAGUUAAAAAUCCCUUUCCCUAAUUUUUUUUUAGUGUUUAUAUUGUUUGUUCUCUCUAUUUUUUUAUCAAUUUUUUUUAUCACUAUUGUUUGUUCUUUAGUGUUUCCUUUUUACACAAUAGCAGCAACAAUAAUAAUUGAUAACCACAAUUGAAUCUUUUUAUUUUAUUUUAUUUGAGAGGAAGCAUAUUUUGGUGUCAUAUUAAUGAGAGAACUACUGAAAGUAUGGACAGGAGGAGAAUAAAUUGAAAAAUAAAUGAAACAAGAGAAGAGAAAAGGUCUAAACAAAAACCUUCAAGAUGAAAUUUUUUAUGUAUCUUCAAAUUUGAAUCUAUGUCAAGUCCAUUGUGGUGAGGUGCUUGAUCUGCACACUUUUAAAGAAGUUGAUGC